AGCGAACGCUGGCGGCAGGCCUAACACAUGCAAGUCGAACGAACCUUUCGGGGUUAGUGGCGGACGGGUGAGUAACACGUGGGAACGUGCCUUUAGGUUCGGAAUAACUCAGGGAAACUUGUGCUAAUACCGAAUGUGCCCUUCGGGGGAAAGAUUUAUCGCCUUUAGAGCGGCCCGCGUCUGAUUAGCUAGUUGGUUGAGGUAAUGGCUCACCAAGGCGACGAUCAGUAGCUGGUCUGAGAGGAUGAUCAGCCACAUUGGGACUGAGACACGGCCCAAACUCCUACGGGAGGCAGCAGUGGGGAAUCUUGCGCAAUGGGCGAAAGCCUGACGCAGCCAUGCCGCGUGAAUGAUGAAGGUCUUAGGAUUGUAAAAUUCUUUCACCGGGGACGAUAACGACGGUACCCGGAGAAGAAGCCCCGGCUAACUUCGUG
rnacentral:rRNA from 1 species